rnacentral:miRNA from 1 species
GGGAUAGAGAACGAGAAAGAGAACGAGAAAGAGAACGCGACAGAGAUAGAGAUCAUGUCUUCGACGCUCCUCCUCGCUUCCACACCUCUUACAGCAUCCCAACCCGCGG